rnacentral:rRNA from 1 species
GGAAUAUUGCACAAUGGGGGAAACCCUGAUGCAGCCAUGCCGCGUGUGUGAAGAAGGCCUUCGGGUUGUAAAGCACUUUCAGUAGGGAGGAAAGGGUGUAGUUUAAUACGCUAUAUCUGUGACGUUACCUACAGAAGAAGGACCGGCUAACUCCGUGCCAGCAGCCGCGGUAAUACGGAGGGUCCGAGCGUUAAUCGGAAUUACUGGGCGUAAAGCGUGCGCAGGCGGUUUGUUAAGCGAGAUGUGAAAGCCCUGGGCUCAACCUAGGAAUAGCAUUUCGAACUGGCGAACUAGAGUCUUGUAGAGGGGGGUAGAAUUCCAGGUGUAGCGGUGAAAUGCGUAGAGAUCUGGAGGAAUACCGGUGGCGAAGGCGGCCCCCUGGACAAAGACUGACGCUCAUGCACGAAAGCGUGGGGAGCAAACAGGAUUAGAUACCCCUG